UACAGCCACAUCAUGUUGAAACACUGGUUCCCAUAUGGUCACUGAAGUUAAGCAACAUUGAGCCUGAUCAGUACCUAGAUGGGUGACUGCUUAGAAAU
rnacentral:rRNA from 1 species